CCUUCUUUCCCUCUCCCUGAGCUAGACCCCGAGCAACUGCAGCUCCCCAUUUUGGUUCUUCUCCCCCGAUCAGAGACAUUCUUUCCCUUUCUCAAUUAUGGUUAUUCUCUCCCUGAUCUAGGUUUUCUACACAGAAGAGUCUCAUCAACCUCUCCCCGAUCUAGGUCAAGAAGAAAUUGUUGGUGGAUUUCUUCGAUUUCACAAACGAUUUCACGAUGGGUAAGAGAUGAUCAGUCUUUAGUAAUAGUCAAAUUGUAUAACCUGCAAUUCGGAAGUGCAAGACUUGGUGUUUGGACAUAGGGGAAGGAGUUCUUGUUCUUGCUUCAUGUGGGUCUUAUUUUAAGUUGGCUCUCCCUUUCAUACGGAUAUCCAAAAGGGUAGGAAAGGAAGGAAAAUUAUCCAAUGAAAGAAUCUUGCUGGUAUUCCGGAGCAAACUGAUUCUAAGACUUGUGGUUAUAUCGUCAUGCAUUAUAUGAAAGAAAUUGUGGAUGACAAGAACUUGGAGUUUGCUACCAAGUGGGAAAGGAAAUCAAAUCUUGCUUACGCACAGAAGGAUAUUGAUGUGGCUCGAGCUGAAUGGGCAAAUCAUGUUAUGCAGUUCUAACUUUGAUUCUGUUUAAGGUAGAUGGGUAGCACUUGGAACUGCUUUUGUGCAUUUCUAUAUAACUGAUGGAAAGUGUUGAUGAACCUAAAUUAUGCAUGCAGUUGCUCUGCCUAGCUACUCUUUCUUUACCUUAUAGGUUUUUGACUUGGUGCAUUAGGUAAAUGAUCGAGAUAAAAUGGUUUUUUGGUUCUCUUGUGUUGGCUAGAUUUAG